CCUUCUACUUCAAGUCAUUGUUACAACCUUUGCCCAUGCCAAUGCCAUCUCAGCUAGAUUCUUGCAAUAGCAGCCUGACUGGCUCUUCGUUCCCAUUCAUGACCCUUCUCCCUAAGUCCAAGGCAGAGUGCCAUCAUUCACCUACAAAUCCUUACGCCAGCUGACCCCUGAUGUCUCUUGGCUUCUCACUCCCAGCUGCUUACACCUCAUUCUUCCUCUGGUCAUUCUAUAUUUUGCAUAGGUUACUAAAUAAUACAUGUGAAGGAUAAGUGGUAAAUACUAUAUUAUUACCCUCCUCUAGACUAUCAGUGCCACAAGGCAAAUAGAUAUGAGUUCUGUGUUUAGAGGCAGGCAGAUCUCUGAGUUCGAGGCCAGCCUGGUCUACAGAGUGAGUUCCGGGACCACCAGGGCUACACAGAGAAACCCUGUCUUGGGGUGUGGGGGCAGAAACAUUGUAUCAUGCCUACCUGUUGUAAAUAUAUCUGGGGAGAUUCACCCAAAUGUAGUGUUAAAGAGGAGAUAUUGGGAAGUGGUAGAGGGCACUUUCCAUUAUAUAAUUUUGUGUUCUCUGAAUUUUUUUUAUAAAACACAUCCAUGUAUUACCUAUGUGUUUUGUUUUGUUUUUUGUUUGUUGGUUUUUUUGUUUUUUGUUUUUCCGAGACAGGAUUUCUCUGUGGCUUUGGAGGCUGUCCUGGAACUAGCUCCUGGGAUUAAAGGCGUGGGCCACCAACACCCGGCUACCUAUGUGUUUUUAAUUACACAUAGAAAAACCUUAUGAAGAAUGCUAUGCAGAGGUUCAGGCUUGGAAGCUCACACCUGUAAUCGCAACAUUCUAGAGGCUGAAGCAGAAGUGGCAAGUUACAAAGCCAGCCUUGACUACAUGGGAGCUGCCACUACCUCACCUAGAUCAAUGGAAGAGAAUCAUCUAGGCCACUUUUGAGUCAGCUGUGUGCCCCAGACCAAGGAGGCAGGGAAGCUUGAUGACACAUAGGAUCCAAAUCUUCAAAAGCAAAAGAAAGACAAUGGAUGGGCAGAAAAGCACCGAUUACUGGAAUAAAUGAUUGAUAUCUCUGUCCACAUUUGUUGUACAGAGCCUCCUUUUAGACUGAAAUGCUGGAAGAUAUUAACCCCAGAUCACUGGUCUAAGAGAUGACAGACGUGCAGCUGAUCCAGCCCCCUUAACUAAUGGCUACUUACAGGCCUUCCGCCAAACGAAACCCCUUUGUGCCCCUACAUAUCACCCCUUAGGCUUUGUUUGAAUGUUGGAAAUGAGGUUGAGGCAUCUGGUGUCCCCACAGUCCCAUUGCUUUGGAGACUAGAAGCAAUUGAGAUGCUUUCAGCCAGAAAAAUAUAAUUUAAGGGCUUGGCAUCUGGCUGGG
rnacentral:lncRNA from 1 species